GGCCAUCUCCACUCAACAGGAACUCCCAGCCCACAUCCUGAUCUGAGAUCCAGCACCCCAAAACUGAACUCCUCUAGGUCAUCCCCAAGGCCUAUUUGUGCAGCAGUGCUUGUUCCCUGGAGUUGUGGGGUCCCAGACGGGGUGUGGUGAAAUGGGCACAGUGGGGCAGUGGCACCUGAGGCCUCCUUAGCUCCAGCCUCCAGCAAGAUGUUCCUGACAGUGACACGGCUGUACUUCAGCGCUGAGGAGGGGGGCGAGCGCUCUGUCUGCCUCACCUUUGCCUUCCUCUUCCUGCUGCUGGCCAUGCUGGUGCAGGUGGUGCGGGAGGAGACCCUCGAGCUGGGCCUGGAGCCUGGUCUGGCCAGCAUGACCCAGAACUUAGAGCCACUUCUGAAGAAGCAGGGCUGGGACUGGGCGCUCCCUGCGGCCAAGCUGGCUAUCCGCGUGGGGCUGGCGGUGGUGGGCUCUGUGCUGGGUGCCUUCCUCACCUUCCCAGGCCUGCGGCUGGCGCAAACCCACCGGGACGCACUGACCAUGUCGGAGGACCGGCCGAUGCUGCAGUUAAGUGGGUCGCUUGGUGGGUGGGGGGAUUAGGGAGCUUAAGGGAGAGACUGGAGGAGAGGGGGUACCCAGGCCUCACUCUCUCCUGCCCUCACCCCCCAGGUUCCUUCUGCACACCAGCUUCCUGUCUCCCCUGUUCAUCCUGUGGCUCUGGACAAAGCCCAUUGCGCGGGACUUCCUGC
rnacentral:sRNA from 1 species